ensembl:snRNA U6 U6 spliceosomal RNA
GCUCUCUUCGGCAGCACAUAUACUAAAAUUGGAACAGUACAGAGAAGAUUAGCAUGGCCCCUGCACAAUGCAAAACAAAUUAAUCCAUUCCAGACUUUU